GCAGCCUGCAACCCGGCUGCACGAAGCCGGAAUCGCUAGUAAUCGCAGAUCAGAAUGCUGCGGUGAAUACGUUCCCGGGUCUUGUACACACCGCCCGUCACACCAUGGGAGCCAGAAAUGCCCGAAGUCAGUGGCCCAACCGCAAGGAGGGAGCUGCCGAAGGCAGGUCCGGUGACUGGGGUGAAGUCGUAACAAGGUACC
rnacentral:rRNA from 1 species